rnacentral:rRNA from 1 species
GGGGAAUUUUCCGCAAUGGGCGAAAGCCUGACGGAGCAAUGCCGCGUGGAGGAUGAAAGCCCAUGGGUUGUAAACUCCUUUUCUCAGAGAAGAAAUUUUGACGGUAUCUGAGGAAUAAGCAUCGGCUAACUCCGUGCCAGCAGCCGCGGUAAUACGGGGGAUGCAAGUGUUAUCCGGAAUAAUUGGGCGUAAAGCGUCUGUAGGUGGUUUACCAAGUCUGUUGUUAAAAAUUAGGGCUCAACCCUGAUCCGGCAACAGAAACCAGUAAACUUGAGUACGGUAGGGGCAGAGGGAAUUCUCGGUGUAGUGGUGAAAUACGUAGAUAUCGAGAAGAACACCAACAGCGAAAGCACUCUGCUGGGCCGAAACUGACAUUGAGAGACGAAAGCUAGGGGAGCAAAAGGGAUUAGAUACCCCUGUAGUC